UGGUUGAGGCAUGCAAGUCGCACGAGAAUGGAGGGGCAACCCUCCUAGUAAAGUGGCGGAAGGGUGAGUAAUGGGUAGAUAACGUACCCCGGGGAUGGGGAUAACGGGCCGAAAGGCCCGCUAAUACCCGAUGAGACCACGAGUGGGCGACCACUUGAGGUCAAAGGCGUGGGACCUUCGGGCCUCGCGCCCUGGGAUCGGUCUACUCCCUACCAGCUAGUUGGCGGGGUAACGGCCCACCAAGGCUUCGACGGGUACCCGGGCUGAGAGGCUGAACGGGCACAUCGGCACUGAGACACUGGCCGGACACCUACGGGUGGCUGCAGUUCGGAAUAUUCGGCAAUGGGCGAAAGCCUGACCGAGCGACGCCGCGUGGAGGAUGAAGGCCCUCUGGGUUGUAAACUCU
rnacentral:rRNA from 1 species